UACGUAGGGUGCGAGCGUUGUCCGGAAUUAUUGGGCGUAAAGGGCUCGUAGGCGGUUUGUCGCGUCGGGAGUGAAAUCCACUGGCUUAACUGGUGGCUUGCUUUCGAUACGGGCAGACUGGAGGUAUGCAGGGGAGAACGGAAUUCCUGGUGUAGCGGUGAAAUGCGCAGAUAUCAGGAGGAACACCGGUGGCGAAGGCGGUUCUCUGGGCAUGUCCUAACGCUGAGGAGCGAAAGUGUGGGGAGCGAACAGG
rnacentral:rRNA from 1 species